rnacentral:lncRNA from 1 species
GUGAUCAUAUCAUACAUAUAAUGCACUGCCAUAUUUUCGCGGAUGGGACAUACUUGGCAUCAUACAUAUAAUGCACUGCCAUAUUUUCGCGGAUGGGACAUACUUGGCUGAUUGUUGGUCUGAUUUGUAUCAAAUUUGUAUGUGUAAUAUAAUCAUUAAAUGUACCUGAAGUGAAUUCAGGAAAGUUAUUCAUUUGUAUUGUUUUAUUUUUAUCAUGUUUUUGAUUUGCUCGUAAUUUUAUAAUUUCGUGAGGAUAAUAAACACACAAGUGACCAACUACUACAUGCAUCUAUGAUCACCAGGAAAUGCCUAAAUGAUCCAGUAAAUGGUUGAAUUGGGCCACUUAUGUCUUCUUAAAUAUGUUGAAGGAUAUUGGGAACGUAUUCUUAAUUUUGAGGUAAGUUGGGUUUGUAAUUUUCUUAUUUAAAAAUCAUUUAUGUGCAACGUUUGGUAGAGAUUUAAUAUAUAUAAUGUGAUCCAAAUGGUAAUGAGGUGUAAUUUUCAAGUAUUAGUUUAUCAUAUCCGUUGUUUUCGACUAAAAGUAAAUAUUCAAUGUUAUUUUCAGAACUUGUUUCCAGAUGUAAAACUUUAAUCGGAUAUCUCUAUACUUAAAAGAGUACUAGUGGAUUAAGGAUACAAGAGUGCAUCCUAAGUUGCAAUGGUUGUAUCCACGGGAAGAACAAUUAUUGUGUCUACCAGAACCUCCAAUUGAUGCACCAUGUGAAGUCAUGUUGACAUUUUCUUUUCUCUUUGGUAAGGUUAUGGAAUAAAUUUUGUUUCCCCUAGUAUUGUGUUAGUGGUGUAUAUAUUCACUAAACAAGGUUCUUCCAUACCUCUGUUUCCAUAUGCCGCUGCACCAUCAUCCACUGCCAUGUUGAGGUGGUGGAGAUUAGCAGGCAGCAGUCUUUGUGGCGUUGAUGGGGAGGUGUCUUCGCGGUGCUGAUUGGGAGGUUGAGACCUCGUGGAAUCCAUGUUCUCAGGCGGAGGCUAAGUUGGCGAUUUGCCACUGCAGUUGUGAAUCAGCAUAAGAGAUGGCACACUUCCGGUGUAGGUGCCGAGGGCCUCGCUAGAUCCAGAUGGAUUGUUGGAGCCGCAAUCUCGCUCGCCACUCUGCAGGGGUUGUUAAGGUUGAUGGCGAGCCUCUACAGGGUGAUGUAGUGCCAUUUUUUCUUUGAAAAAACUCAGACUUUAUUCAUUUGUAAUAAGUAAUAAGUACAUCAUUUGUGAGGAGCAUUACAAUUUCAUUUAAAGGCUCCUCAAACCAAUCGGAAGUCAAAGAAAAUCUAGCUGGAAAUCAGGGUGAUGUAGUGGCAGAGGAAAGGCUGACGGGACGAAAUGACCCUCCUUGCUUGAUCAGGUUAUGUAUGGUGUACCUGGUGGUGAUGGAGUUGGGCACGGUCUGAAACCGAUCACAUGGAAGAAAUAUGGUUGUGGUGGGGUAGGUACUUCAUCGAUGACGUUUUGCAAGCACCAAGCAGCAUGGUGGCGUGAGCACUAGUGUUGCCGGCGAGCCAUGACAUGUUUAGUCCGAC